rnacentral:rRNA from 1 species
GACGAACGCUGGCGGCGUGCCUAAUACAUGCAAGUCGAGCGGACGAAUCGAAAGCUUGCUUUUGUUUCGUUAGCGGCGGACGGGUGAGUAACACGUGGGCAACCUGCCCUGUAGACGGGGAUAACACCGAGAAAUCGGUGCUAAUACCGGAUGACACGAAAUGUCGCAUGACGUUUCGUUGAAAGACGGCGCAAGCUGUCGCUACAGGAUGGGCCCGCGGCGCAUUAGCUAGUUGGUGAGGUAACGGCUCACCAAGGCGACGAUGCGUAGCCGACCUGAGAGGGUGAUCGGCCACACUGGGACUGAGACACGGCCCAGACUCCUACGGGAGGCAGCAGUAGGGAAUCUUCCGCAAUGGACGAAAGUCUGACGGAGCAACGCCGCGUGAGCGAAGAAGGCCUUCGGGUCGUAAAGCUCUGUUGUUAGGGAAGAACAAGUAACGCAGUAACUGGCGUUACCGUGACGGUACCUAACGAGAAAGCCACGGCUAACUACGUG